GGUAGAUAGGUGGGAAAUAUUUCCAUGGCGGAGCUGCAUAGCCGCGCCUUCCGUGCGGAUUCCUCAGCGGCCAAGCGCGUCACGAUCGGGCUUCCAUUCCUCGCCAUCGCAGCGUUCACGAUUCUUGUGAUUGGGCAUCUUGUGAAGCGGAGAAAUCCCGGUGGCAAGCGUUUGGGUGGAGCAAACAACACAACAGGCCAACACGCUCCAGAAGAAAAUGGUGACGGGGUCGCGGAUGACGAUGAUACUGAGACGCAGUGCUUGGAAAUCCCCGGGAGUAUCGAAGAGCUCCGUGCUCGACGAAUACGGGCAAUGGAGAAGCGGCUUGCGAGAGGCAGCAAGUCGAACGAUCCAGGUUCAGCGAGAUUAACUCCUCUAGGAACCAUGUUAGCCAUUUCCAGAAAGAUUGACGAGCUCGAGAAGCAGGUUGCGAGUUUUCUCGACUCCAGUUCUCAAGUCCAGCAACAUAGAUGCGAAGAACUGGUGGAGAAUUUGAAAAGUUUGCAAAUAGAAAUCGACGCUGUCAGUAGCGAUGAGGCUGUGCGGGAACACAGGAAAAUACAAUCUUGUCGCGUGGAAUCUCUAAUGCAGGAACUACAACACAGUAAACAGUGACGAUCAGUCGAAGUCUUCUUUACACUUUUGAGAAUCAUCCGCUCCUACGAUCGUAUGAACCUGUGGGAAGAAGAGUAGUACUUUGGUUCCAGGCAAGAUGAACGCAUCGUUUCUUAUCUGCUCGCCGAUAGCGUCUCUCAAGUAGCACCAGUCCACCUUGUUGGCUAGAAUCUCCGCGGCCGUGGUUUUGCCUUGGGGAUCGAUGGGAAUUUUCGCUAUGAGCUCGUCGUCGGCGUUGUGGACGAGCGCGCAAUCGCAGUCCUGGUGAUGUACUCCAGCCGGUUGGAAUGGCGAUCGUCUCACGGUGUAUGGCACUGUUUGAUCCAGAGAAAAAAAAAAUCAGUUUUUGA